rnacentral:rRNA from 1 species
UACGUAGGGUGCAAGCGUUGUCCGGAAUUAUUGGGCGUAAAGAGCUCGUAGGCGGUCUGUUGCGUCGGCUGUGAAAACCCGAGGCUCAACCUCGGGCCUGCAGCCGAUACGGGCAGACUAGAGUUCGGCAGGGGAGACUGGAAUUCCUGGUGUAGCGGUGAAAUGCGCAGAUAUCAGGAGGAACACCGGUGGCGAAGACGGGUCUCUGGGCCGAUACUGACGCUGAGGAGCGAAAGCGUGGGGAGCGAACAGG